AGCAGCCGCGGUAAUUCCAGCUCCAAUAGCGUAUAUUAAAGUUGUUGCAGUUAAAAAGCUCGUAGUUGAAUUUCGGGAUCAAUUGAUUGGUCAUGCCUACGGUAUGUACUAGUCAUAUUGGUUCUCACCUUCUAAUGAACCUUAAUGUCAUUCACUUGAUGUUUUGGGGAAUUAGGACUGUUACCUUGAAAAAUUAGAGUGUUUAAAGCAGGCUUACGCUUGAAUACAUUAGCAUGGAAUAAUGAAAUAGGACAUCGCAUUCUAUUUUGUUGGUUUCUAGGAUCGAUGUAAUGAUUAAUAGGGAUAGUUGGGGGCAUUAGUAUUCAAUUGUCAGAGGUGAAAUUCUUGGAUUUAUUGAAGACUAACUACUGCGAAAGCAUUUGCCAAGGAUGUUUUCAUUAAUCAAGAACGAAAGUUAGGGGAUCGAAGACGAUCAGAUACCGUCGUAGUCUUAACCAUAAACUAUGCCGACUAGGGAUCGGAUGAUGUUAAUUUUAAAUGA
rnacentral:sRNA from 1 species